UCAUGACGGCUGCAGCUGGCUAUCACUCUCCGCCAUGGCUACACAGGAGAUAUGGAUCGUUUUGUGUGAAUCCAACGGUGUCUUCGUCCAGUUUAAUCUGUUUCAGAGUAAAUCUGCUCAGCUGAAGGAAAAGUUCAUGUUUAUAGCUGUUUAAGUGAACUUGAAUGUUUAAAUGGGAGGUGAAUGUUAACAUUGACCAUAAAGUUCAGUCUCAGUGGUUUAAAUGUGUUCUACUGGUUAUACUGGCAAAUGUUGUGCAUUCAAACUAAAACUAUGAACUAUUUCAAUCAAGGGAUUACUGAGGAAACAGAACCUGAUCCAGAGGUGAUCUGCAUCCAGAUGUGGAUGGAGAGAGUCUUCAGGGUUGGAUGUGACGCCAAACAAGCCAGGAAUAAAAUAGGCAUAAUUUGAAGGCUUAAUCCAAGGUUGUCAGUCUGGUGUCAUAAAGGCUCCUGGUGCUGCAGGGAUGAGUCUCCACCUCCACCCAGCAGAAACCCAGCUGGUGGAGACAGGACCAGCUGGUUCAUGGGGGAUCUGAGCAGGACCAGGCCUCAUCGCAUCCCAGGAGGAAGAAUUUUGAUCUGGCUCCAUCAACAACUCCAGAAGGAUGGAGAAAUGCCCGAUGGCCAGGAGAGCAAAGCUCCAGGUUCCUCCACCUGCUCCUGUCUGGAAGUGGAUCACUCUGUGAUGAUGUUCAUCAGCUCAUCCACAACACUGAGGAAGGUCCAGAACUCUGCCGGAACCAGACCGAAGCUCCUCACUCCAACCAGGGGCUUUUUCCUGGAGCAGAAUCUGUAACAAUAUAACAGUGUUCUCCCUGGACAACACUGAAGAUUGGAGUCACAUGACCUCCAGGAUCGACAUCUUAUCAUUGACCUGUUCAUAUAGUUGUUGUUGUUCCUGGUAAAUAAAAGAAAGAACUGUAGAAUUUUUUUUAAAA